rnacentral:rRNA from 1 species
GGAGGUUACUGCUAUCGGUGUUCGCCUAACCCAUGCAAGUCAUAUGUUCUUCGUGAACAUGGCGUACUGCUCAGUAACACGUGAAUAACCUGCCCUUGGGACCGGCAUAACCCCGGGAAACUGGGGAUAAUUCCGGAUACCGCAUAUAUGCUGGAAUGCUUUAUGCGUGAAAUGGAUUCGUCUGCCCAAGGAUGGAUCUGCGGCCUAUCAGGUAGUAGUGGGUGUAAUGUACCUACUACCCUACAACGGGUACGGGUUGUGAGAGCAAAAGCCCGGAAAUGGAUUCUGAAACAUGAAUCCAGGCCCUACGGGGCGCACCAGGCGCGAAAACUUUACAAUGCGGGAAACCGUGAUAAGGGGACACCGAGUGCCACCAACAUUUGUUGGCUGUCCAGGUGUGUAAACUACACCUGUUAGCAAGGGCCGGGCAAGACCGGUGC